UACGUAGGGGGCAAGCGUUGUCCGGAUUCAUUGGGCGUAAAGAGCGUGUAGGCGGCCAGGUAGGUCGGUUGUGAAAACUGGAGGCUCAACCUUCAGACGUCGACCGAAACCAUCUGGCUAGAGUCCGGGAGAGGAGAGUGGAAUUCCUGGUGUAGCGGUGAAAUGCGCAGAUAUCGGGAGGAACACCGGUGGCGAAGGCGGCGACCUGGGUAGAUACUGACGCUGAGGCGCGAAAGCGUGGGGAGCAAACAGG
rnacentral:rRNA from 1 species